UUGAACGCUGGCGGCAUGCUUUACACAUGCAAGUCGAACGGUAGACCCUUUCGGGGGUUGAGAGUGGCGAACGGGUGAGUAAUGCAUCGGAACGUACCUAGUCGUGGGGGAUAACUAUCCGAAAGGAUAGCUAAUACCGCAUACGUCCUGAGGGAGAAAGCAGGGGAUCGCAAGACCUUGCGCGAUUAGAGCGGCCGAUGUCGGAUUAGCUAGUUGGUGGGGUAAAGGCCUACCAAGGCAACGAUCCGUAGCUGGUCUGGGAGGAUGAUCAGCCACACUGGGACUGAGACACGGCGCAGACUCCUACGGGAGGCAGCAGUGGGGAAUUUUGGACAAUGGGCGCAAGCCUGAUCCAGCCAUUCCGCGUGAGUGAAGAAGGCCUUCGGGUUGUAAAGCUCUUUCGGCAGGGAAGAAACGGCAGGCUCUAACAUAGCCUGCUAAUGACGGUACCUGAAGAAGAAGCACCGGCUAACUACGU
rnacentral:rRNA from 1 species